rnacentral:rRNA from 1 species
UACGUAGGGGGCAAGCGUUGUCCGGAUUUAUUGGGCGUAAAGAGCGUGUAGGCGGUUAGGUAGGUCCGUUGUGAAAACUCGAGGCUCAACCUCGAGACGCCGAUGGAAACCAUCUAACUAGAGUCCGGAAGAGGAGAGUGGAAUUCCUGGUGUAGCGGUGAAAUGCGCAGAUAUCAGGAGGAACACCAAUGGCGAAGGCAGCACUCUGGGACGGUACUGACGCUGAGACGCGAAAGCGUGGGGAGCAAACAGG